GAUGAAGAACGCAGCGAAAUGCGAUACGUAAUGUGAAUUGCAGAAUUCAGUGAAUCAUCGAGUCUUUGAACGCACAUUGCGCCCCCUGGUAUUCCGGGGGGCAUGCCUGUCCGAGCGUCAUUGCUGCCCUCAAGCCCGGCUUGUGUGUUGGGUCUCGUCCCCCUUCCCGGGGGGACGGGCCCGAAAGGCAGCGGCGGCACCGCGUCCGGUCCUCGAGCGUAUGGGGCUUUGUCACCCGCUCUGUAGGCCCGGCCGGCGCUUGCCGAUCAACCAAAACUUUUUUCCAGGUUGACCUCGGAUUAGGUAGGGAUACCCGCUGAACUUAAGCAUAUCAAUAAGCGGAGG
rnacentral:misc_RNA from 1 species